rnacentral:rRNA from 1 species
CGAAGCAACGCGAAGAACCUUACCUAAGCUUGACAUCCCAAUGACAUCUCCUUAAUCGGAGAGUUCCCUUCGGGGACAUUGGUGACAGGUGGUGCAUGGUUGUCGUCAGCUCGUGUCGUGAGAUGUUGGGUUAAGUCCCGCAACGAGCGCAACCCUUGUCUUUAGUUGCCAUCAUUAAGUUGGGCACUCUAGAGAGACUGCCAGGGAUAACCUGGAGGAAGGUGGGGAUGACGUCAAAUCAUCAUGCCCCUUAUGCUUAGGGCUACACACGUGCUACAAUGGGUAGUACAGAGGGUUGCCAAGCCGUAAGGUGGAGCUAAUCCCUUAAAGCUACUCUCAGUUCGGAUUGUAGGCUGAAACUCGCCUACAUGAAGCUGGAGUUACUAGUAAUCGCAGAUCAGAAUGCUGCGGUGAAUGCGUUCCCGGGUCUUGUACACACCGCCCGUCACACCACGGGAGUUGGAGACGCCCGAAGCCGAUUAUCUAACCUUUUGGAAGAAGUCGUCGAAGGUGGAAUCAAUAACUGGGGUGAAGUCGUAACAAGGUAGCCGUAUCGGAAGGUGCGGCUGGAUCACCUCCUUUCUAAGGA